rnacentral:rRNA from 1 species
UACAGAGGUCUCAAGCGUUGUUCGGAUUCAUUGGGCGUAAAGGGUGCGUAGGCGGCGCGGUAAGUCGGGUGUGAAAUCUCGGAGCUUAACUCCGAAACUGCAUUCGAUACUGCCGUGCUUGAGGACUGGAGAGGAGACUGGAAUUUACGGUGUAGCGGUGAAAUGCGUAGAUAUCGUAAGGAACACCGGUGGCGAAGGCGGGACUCUGGGCCGAUACUGACGCUGAGGAGCGAAAGCCAGGGAGCAAACGGG